AAUGGGGGCAACCCUGACGCAGCCAUGCCGCGUGAGUGACGAAGGCCUUAGGGUUGUAAAGCUCUUUCAGAUGCGAAGAUAAUGACGGUAACAUCAGAAGAAGCUCCGGCUAAAUUCGUGCCAGCAGCCGCGGUAAUACGAAUGGAGCAAGCGUUGUUCGGAAUCACUGGGCGUAAAGCGUACGUAGGCGGUUAUUCAAGUCAGAAGUGAAAGCCCAGGGCUCAACCCUGGAACUGCUUUUGAAACUGGAUAACUAGAGUCCCGGAGAGGUUAGGGGAAUUCCGAGUGUAGCAGUGAAAUGCGCAGAUAUUCGGAGGAACACCAGUGGCGUAGGCGCCUAACUGGACGGGAACUGACGCUGAGGUACGAAAGCGUGGGGAGCAAACAGGAUU
rnacentral:rRNA from 1 species